rnacentral:rRNA from 1 species
AGUCAAGUGAACAAGCGCAUGUGGUGGAUGCCUAGGCGGCAGGAGGCGAUGAAGGACGUGGUAGCCUGCGAUAAGCCUCGGGGAGCUGGCAAACAAGCUUUGAUCCGGGGAUGUCCGAAUGGGGAAACCCACCGCGCAAGCGGUAUCCGUACCUGAAUCCAUAGGGUGCGGAGGCGAUACCCGGGGAAUUGAAACAUCUCAGUACCCGGAGGAAAAGAAAUCAACCGAGAUUCCCCCAGUAGUGGCGAGCGAACGGGGAACAGCCCUUAAGCUCUUGUUAGUUUAGUGGAACGGUCUGGAAAGUCCGGCCAUAGAGGGUGAUAGCCCUGUACACGAAAGGCUGAUAAGAGUGAAAUCGAGUAGGACGGGACACGCGAAAUCCUGUCUGAAGAUGGGGGGACCAUCCUCCAAGGCUAAAUACUCCCUGCCGACCGAUAGUGAACCAGUACCGUGAGGGAAAGGUGAAAAGAACCCCGGAGAGGGGAGUGAAAUAGAACCUGA